GACGAACGCUGGCGGCGUGCUUAACACAUGCAAGUCGAACGAUGAACCCGGAGCUUGCUCCGGCGGAUUAGUGGCGAACAGGUGAGUAACACGUGAGUAACCUGCCCUUGACUCUGGGAUAACUGCUAGAAAUGGUAGCUAAUCCCGGAUACGACCCUCGGUGGCAUCACCAGGGGGUGGAAAGAAUUUCGGUCAAGGAUGGACUCGCGGCCUAGCAGUUAGAUGUGGAGGUAACGGCCCACCAAGGCGACGACGGGUAGCCGGCCAGGAAGGGUGACCGGCCACGCUAGGACUGAGACACGGCGCAGACUCCUACGGGAGGCAGCAGUGGAGAAUAUUGCACAAUGGGCGCAAGCCUGAUGCAGCAACGCCGCGUGAGGGAUGACGCCCUUCGGGUUGUAAACCUCUUUUAGUAGGGAAGAAGCGAAAGUGACGGUACCUGCAGAAAAAGCACCGGCUAACUACGUGCCAGCCGCCGCGGUAA
rnacentral:rRNA from 1 species